GCCCAGGUGGUGAAAUAGGUAGACACAAGGGACUUAAAAUCCCUCGAACCUUAUACGUUCGUGCCGGUUCGACUCCGGCCCUGGGCACCA
rnacentral:tRNA from 2 species